rnacentral:rRNA from 1 species
AACCAAGAUGGCUAAGUUAUACACUUUCGGUAAAAAGACAGUUAAGUAAUUUUAAGUUUAUUUAGUGCUUAUAUAAGGGUAGAAUCUGAAUAUAAGUAUAUAAUUUAAUUAUGACUAAAGUACUGAAGCUGUGACAGCCUUGAGGGAAACUGGGAUUAGAUACCCCAUUAUUCUUGGCUGUAAAGUGAUAUACUAUCUACCAGAGUACUAUGAACUAUAAAAGUUUAAAACUCAAAGGGCUUGGCGGUGUUUUAGACCUCUCAGGGGAACCUGUCUCAUAAUCGACAAUCCACGAUAUACCUGACCUUUUUUUGUAUUCAGUUUGUAUACCGUCGUCGUCAGGUAACUUUUAAAAAACUAGAAGUUAGCAAAAAAAUAAUGUAAAUUUAAACGUCAGAUCAAGGUGCAGCUUACAAGAGGGGGAGGAUGGGUUACAAUUAUUUACUUAUAAUUAUGAAUCAUUACCUUAAAAAGUAUUGUGAAGGAGGACUUGAAAGUAAAAUGCAAUAUAUAAACAUUUUGAAUAAGGCUCUGAAACGUGC